AGUGAACGCUGGCGGUAGGCCUAACACAUGCAAGUCGAACGGCAGCACAGGAGAGCUUGCUCUCUGGGUGGCGAGUGGCGGACGGGUGAGGAAUACAUCGGAAUCUACUUUUUCGUGGGGGAUAACGUAGGGAAACUUACGCUAAUACCGCAUACGACCUACGGGAGAAAGCAGGGGACCUUCGGGCCUUGAGCGAUGGAAUGAGCCGAUGUCGGAUUAGCUAGUUGGCGGGGUAAAGGCCCACCAAGGCGACGAUCCGUAGCUGGUCUGAGAGGAUGAUCAGCCACACUGGAACUGAGACACGGUCCAGACUCCUACGGGAGGCAGCAGUGGGGAAUAUUGGACAAUGGGCGCAAGCCUGAUCCAGCCAUACCGCGUGGGUGAAGAAGGCCUUCGGGUUGUAAAGCCCUUUUGUUGGGAAAGAAAUCCAGCUGGCUAAUACCCGGUUGGGAUGACGGUACCCAAAGAAUAAGCACCGGCUAACUUCGUGCCAGCCGCCGCCGUAA
rnacentral:rRNA from 1 species